GCUGAUAUGGUCAGUUGGUAGAGCGCACCCUUGGUAAGGGUGAGGUCCCCAGUUCGGACUCUGGGUAUCAGCA
rnacentral:tRNA from 1 species